AUUCAGGUGACGAGUCCCGAAUAAGACGAAACGCUCAUCCUAAAU
rnacentral:hammerhead_ribozyme from 1 species